UGGCGCAGGCAGGAGCAGAAGGCCACUUUCCUAAGAUGUGUGCCAGGCUUGGCCAAUCCCGUUGCUUCAUUCUGCCAAUGAUUAUUGACCUACUUGAACAUGUCACGAAGAGUGCCAAUUAAUGUCAAAUGUGACAGCAGGACUCAGCCCAGCUUCAACUGGGUUUCAAACAGGCAACCAAGAGUCAUGAUCAAUGUUCAAGGGCACAUUUCAGCCAGCAAGACUACAGGAACAUAUAAACAGAAGUUCAACUGAUGCAGCUUUUCUUG